rnacentral:lncRNA from 1 species
AAUAUGAUUUUAGUCAGCAAGUGAAUACCACCCACAGAAAUAUACUGUAGAUAUAUUUUCCCAAAUCUUAACUAUUAGAUCAAUUUUCUAACUUUUCAAACUUUGUAUCACUUUUACAAGAUUGGUCCCUAAUAUACUUUCAUUAGGGAACGUCUUUGGAAUUGACAUGGACAAAUACAAGUCAAAAGAAAAAGUGUAUGUGA